GCCAGGUGUAAUAGUACACACCUGUAAUCCCAGCUACUUAGGAGGCUGAGGCAAAAGGAUCACAUGAGCCCAGGAGUUCAAGGCCAUCCUGGUCAACACAAUGAGAUACCAUCUCAA
rnacentral:sRNA from 1 species